CCAGGUACGGCCGGCCUCCCCCUUUUCCAGUUAUGAGGGAUGGAACCAGUCAAAGCCGCUUCCAACCUCCGCAUAGUGUGUAGGUGAGGGAUGAUGACCUGGCGAAGACGAAGGCCAACCUCCUCCCCCUCCCCCUACCAUCACCCCAACCACCUGGCGCCCUACAUAAAAGCCUACCGUGAAUUUGCGUCCCUCUUCCUCAACCUACAAGUGGGUCACGUCUGGGCCUCACUCCGGCACCGUCAGGAUGUUCGCUUUUUUAUCGUCUGACCCUGAAGAGCCUCUUGUCUGCGCAGGUAAGGAAGGUCAUUAUCUCGAAACUGCCGCCACGCUUGCUAGCUCUUCCCGAGGCGGCGAGGCGACAGGCGGCGUUUAGGCUGGAAAAGGGAAGCUGUGGCGGCCUCCUUCUCCUCCUCCUCCUCCUCCUCCGCCUCGAGAUGAAGGUGCCACUGAUAGCUACUUGGGCCUUCCUGUUCCUGUUCUUGUUGUUGUUCUUGUGGCGUGUUCUGCCGCUUCGUGCGUUUUUGUCUCCGUCUUUCAUUAUUAUCGCUGUGAUCGUUUUUUUUUAUUUAUUUAUUUAUU